GGAUUGUAGUCUGCAACCCGACUACAUGAAGCUGGAAUCGCUAGUAAUCGCGGAUCAGAAUGCCGCGGUGAAUACGUUCCCGGGUCUUGUACACACCGCCCGUCACACCAUGAGAGUUGAGAAUACCCGAAGCCCAUGUCAAAGUGGUCGAAGGUAGGCUUGAUGAUUGGGGUGAAGUCGUAACAAGGUAUC
rnacentral:rRNA from 1 species